rnacentral:rRNA from 1 species
UACGAAGGGGGCUAGCGUUGCUCGGAAUCACUGGGCGUAAAGCGCACGUAGGCGGCUUUUUAAGUCAGGGGUGAAAUCCUGGAGCUCAACUCCAGAACUGCCUUUGAUACUGGGAAGCUCGAGUCCGGGAGAGGUGAGUGGAACUCCGAGUGUAGAGGUGAAAUUCGUAGAUAUUCGCAAGAACACCAGUGGCGAAGGCGGCUCACUGGCCCGGUACUGACGCUGAGGCACGAAAGCGUGGGGAGCAAACAGG